AUGCCCCACCACAAUCCACUCCAAGAAACCUCUGCCUGCUUUAUCAAGCAUUGGAAUGGCAUCCAGCACCACACUGUCAGAUAGGAGGGAUGAGUUUCUGGAGGAGCCUGGAGUGGUUGAGCUAGAUGGGAGCACCAUGGAGGAGCCUGGAGUGGUUGAGCUAGAUGGGAGCACCAUGGAGGCAACAGAAGCCUGAUGAAUAUGAGCAUCUCCGGAGAGACCACAGAAGUAAAUGAAGAUUAGGUCAAUGACCU